AUUGAACGCUGGCGGCAGGCUUAACACAUGCAAGUCGAGCGGGGAAGGGUAGCUUGCUACCUAACCCAGCGGCGGACGGGUGAGUAAUGCUUAGGAAUCUGCCAUUUAGUGGGGGACAACAUUCCGAAAGGAAUGCUAAUACCGCAUACGUCCUACGGGAGAAAGCAGGGGAUCUUCGGACCUUGCGCUAAAUGAUGAGCCUAAGUCGGAUUAGCUAGUUGGUGGGGUAAAGGCCUACCAAGGCGACGAUCUGUAGCCGGUCUGAGAGGAUGAUCCGCCACACUGGGACUGGGACACGGCCCAGACUCCUACGGGAGGCAGCAGUGGGGAAUAUUGGACAAUGGGCGGAAGCCUGAUCCAGCCAUGCCGCGUGUGUGAAGAAGGCCUUAUGGUUGUAAAGCACUUUAAGCGAGGAGGAGGCUACUUAGAUUAAUACUCUAGGAUAGUGGACGUUACUCGCAGAAUAAGCACCGGCUAACUCUGUGCCAGCCGCCGCCGUAA
rnacentral:rRNA from 1 species